rfam:Mesocricetus auratus contig098256, whole genome shotgun sequence.
CAGUGCAGUCACCCAUAAAGUAGAAAGCACUACUAACAGCACUGGAGGGUGUAGUGUUUCCUACUUUAUGGAUGAGUGUACUGU